rnacentral:rRNA from 1 species
GUCGUAACAAGGUAACCGUAACUUGCUCCCUGAUGUUAGCGGCGGACGGGUGAGUAACACGUGGGUAACCUGCCUGUAAGACUGGGAUAACUCCGGGAAACCGGGGCUAAUACCGGAUGGUUGUUUGAACCGCAUGGUUCAAACAUAAAAGGUGGCUUCGGCUACCACUUACAGAUGGACCCGCGGCGCAUUAGCUAGUUGGUGAGGUAACGGCUCACCAAGGCAACGAUGCGUAGCCGACCUGAGAGGGUGAUCGGCCACACUGGGACUGAGACACGGCCCAGACUCCUACGGGAGGCAGCAGUAGGGAAUCUUCCGCAAUGGACGAAAGUCUGACGGAGCAACGCCGCGUGAGUGAUGAAGGUUUUCGGAUCGUAAAGCUCUGUUGUUAGGGAAGAACAAGUACCGUUCGAAUAGGGCGGUACCUUGACGGUACCUAACCAGAAAGCCACGGCUAACUACGUGCCAGCAGCCGCGGUAAUACGUAGGUGGCAAGCGUUGUCCGGAAUUAUUGGGCGUAAAGGGCUCGCAGGCGGUUUCUUAAGUCUGAUGUGAAAGCCCCCGGCUCAACCGGGGAGGGUCAUUGGAAACUGGGGAACUUGAGUGCAGAAGAGGAGAGUGGAAUUCCACGUGUAGCGGUGAAAUGCGUAGAGAUGUGGAGGAACACCAGUGGCGAAGGCGACUCUCUGGUCUGUAACUGACGCUGAGGAGCGAAAGCGUGGGGAGCGAACAGGAUUAGAUACCCUGGUAGUCCACGCCGUAAACGAUGAGUGCUAAGUGUUAGGGGGUUUCCGCCCCUUAGUGCUGCAGCUAACGCAUUAAGCACUCCGCCUGGGGAGUACGGUCGCAAGACUGAAACUCAAAGGAAUUGACGGGGGCCCGCACAAGCGGUGGAGCAUGUGGUUUAAUUCGAAGCAACGCGAAGAACCUUACCAGGUCUUGACAUCCUCUGACAAUCCUAGAGAUAGGACGUCCCCUUCGGGGGCAGAGUGACAGGUGGUGCAUGGUUGUCGUCAGCUCGUGUCGUGAGAUGUUGGGUUAAGUCCCGCAACGAGCGCAACCCUUGAUCUUAGUUGCCAGCAUUCAGUUGGGCACUCUAAGGUGACUGCCGGUGACAAACCGGAGGAAGGUGGGGAUGACGUCAAAUCAUCAUGCCCCUUAUGACCUGGGCUACACACGUGCUACAAUGGACAGAACAAAGGGCAGCGAAACCGCGAGGUUAAGCCAAUCCCACAAAUCUGUUCUCAGUUCGGAUCGCAGUCUGCAACUCGACUGCGUGAAGCUGGAAUCGCUAGUAAUCGCGGAUCAGCAUGCCGCGGUGAAUAUGUUCCCGGGCCUUGUACACACCGCCCGUCACACC